rnacentral:snRNA from 1 species
GACUUUCGUUGUUGCACUUGA